GGUAAGAGUGUGGCUGUCAGGUCCCUGCCACUGUGUGUUCUGGGUCUGGCCAAGUGCACAGAUUCCCUUACCUGGUCCUGGCUGGAGAGGCUCUUCUCAAGGACUCCUCUCGUGAAAGGGCUAUGAAACCAUCAAGAUUUGUGGAUCAUCGAAAAAAGAAACAUCCUGAUAAAGUCGAGAAGCAGAAUAUUUAAAAAGUUUAAAAUAGAAUUUUGAACUGUAACACUGUUACUUCCUUAUUUAAGAAGGACAAGCGACCAGGUCCCGCCGCCGCGCCGCCUGGCUCUCG
rnacentral:lncRNA from 1 species